rnacentral:piRNA from 1 species
UGGGCAUCACGAUACCUUUUGAAAGGGAUA